CACGUAGGCGCCAAGCGUUGUCCGGAUUUAUUGGGCGUAAAGAGCUUGUAGGCGGUUCGGUUAGUCGCGUGUGAAAGCCCCCCGGCUCAACUGGGGAGGGUCACGCGAUACUGAUCGACUCGAAGGCAGGAGAGGGAAGUGGAAUUCCCGGUGUAGUGGUGAAAUGCGUAGAUAUCGGGAGGAACACCAGUGGCGAAGGCGACUUCCUGGCCUGUUCUUGACGCUGAGGCGCGAAAGCUAGGGGAGCAAACGGG
rnacentral:rRNA from 1 species